UACAGAGGUCUCAAGCGUUGUUCGGAUUCAUUGGGCGUAAAGGGUGUGUAGGUGGCGCCGUAAGUCGGGUGUGGAAAUUUCGGAGCUUAACUCCGAAACUGCAUUCGAUACUGCGGUGCUUGAGGACUGGAGAGGAGACUGGAAUUCAUGGUGUAGCAGUGAAAUGCGUAGAGAUCAUGAGGAAGACCAGUGGCGAAGGCGGGUCUCUGGACAGUUCCUGACGCUGAGGCACGAAGGCCAGGGGAGCAAACGGG
rnacentral:rRNA from 1 species